CUACGGGAUGCUCCAGUGGGGAAUAUUGCACAAUGGGCGCAAGCCUGAUGCAGCCAUGCCGCGUGUAUGAAGAAGGCCUUCGGGUUGUAAAGUACUUUCAGCGGGGAGGAAGGGAGUAAAGUUAAUACCUUUGCUCAUUGACGUUACCCGCAGAAGAAGCACCGGCUAACUCCGUGCCAGCAGCCGCGGUAAUACGGAGGGUGCAAUCGUUAAUCGGAAUUACUGGGCGUAAAGCGCACGCAGGUGGUUUGUUAAGUCAGAUGUGAAAUCCCCGGGCUCAACCUGGGAACUGCAUCUGAUACUGGCAGGCUUGAGUCUCGUAGGGGGGGGUGGAAUUCCAGGUGUAGCGGUGAAAUGCGUAGAGAUCUGGAGGAAUACCGGUGGCGAAGGCGGCCCCCUGGACGAAGACUGACGCUCAGGUGCGAAAGCGUGGGGAGCAAACAGGAUUAGAUACCCGUGUAGUC
rnacentral:rRNA from 1 species